AGCAUACAACUCCCCUGUUGCAUCAGCUCCACUGGCUGCCAGUCUGCUACCAAGCACAAUCCAAAGUGUUGGCUUUAGCCUAUAAAGCCCUAAACGGUUCUGGCCCAGUCUACCUGUCUGAAUGUAUUCCCCCCCCCCCUCCGAACCAUCUCAGAUUGUCUGGGAAGAACCUGCUUUCAAUCCCAUCUCUUUCACAACCGUGACUGGUGGGGAUGAGAGACAGGGCCUUCUCAGUGGUGGCCCCCCAGCUGUGGAACUCCCUCCCUAGCAAUAUUAGAUCAGCCCCCUCCCUCCUAGCCUUCAGAAGAAGAGUGAAGACCUGACUUUGGAAACAAUAGUGCAGUGCAAUAAUUUUAACCGGAAAUUGUGCAAUUGUUACAGAAAGGGUUAGACCUUGUUUUUGGAUGAUGUGUCUUAUCAUUGGAAUGUAUUUUCACUAUGCUUUUAUGUAUGUUUUCAAUUUUAACCUAAUUUUUAUCUUAUGCUUUGUUUUUAUGUUUGAGGUAGUGCCAUUUGUAAGCCACCUUGAGUCCCCCUUGGAGUAGAGAAAGGCAGGAUAUAAAUAAGACUUGAUACUAGGGGAAGUCUGGCCCAGGUUGAAGGCAGCCAACUACAAGAUUCAAAGACUUCAAAGAGAUCCAUCAUGAGAAUCAUACUGGAUCUUAUUCUGAAAUCCUGUGAUGGCAUAAACCAUUGUUGUAACCUGCCUUGAGCCUCAGGGAGAGGUGCUGUUCAUCCAACACAGAAUUCACAGAGCUAAGCAAGCAAUCCCAAGGAUGUCUUUUGAAUUCCAAGGCUAGAGGACAAACAGUAGACAGUCUCAAACACUGGGCAAAAAAAUAUAAGUCGUAAGGCUUGUUUAAUCCAGUUAUUGGACCCUUACAUUGCCAAACAUAUAAUCAGUCUUUUAUUGUACAUUCUGCUAGCUUCCUCAUAUUUAAUGCUUCCUUGACUUCUUUGGGGAUUUUUGAGACAAAACAUCACAUACAGUAUAAUCCUGCACAUAUCUACUCAGGAAUACAAUGGGAGUUCCUCCCAUUGGAGUUUAUAACUCCAUUAAUUCUGGAAGCAAUUUACAGUUCAGUUGAUAUUUAUUUACCAGAAUGCAAAGAAGCAGAUUCUUCUGAGUACCAAAAUGCAUGAGAGAAGGAUUUUUGAAUGUAGGGUAAAUCUUGUAAGCAAUGACCAUUCGAUGCCAAACCAUGCAAGAUUUUAAGAGUUUCACUGCACAGACUAACAGAGGACAGGGUUAUCAUCCCCCCCCUGAAAAUAACAUUGAGAAAGGUAUUAUAGAAUGAAAUGAACUAAAUGAAUUUUUCUUCCAUCCCUAAUGAAGGAAACAAACAUACAAAUGUUACACAUACUGCCAAAACUCAGACGCCAAUUGAGAGCAAAAUAUAGUUUAUUAAAGUAAUGGUCCAAAAACAGUUCAAAGAAUUAGGAAAAACUUAAAACACUUAAACUUCAGUGUUGUUAAGUAGUUAAAACAGAAGAAAUGCCAAAAACAUGAACUGACAUAUAAUCCAGAUAAACCAGAGAUAAAAUCCGGACUAAACAUAAAAUACUUGAACUCAGCCCAAAAUCACAAAACAGGCUUGAAAUGGUGAAACAAACAAAAACAAACAGCUAUGAAGCCCCAAAACCUUCCCAAAAUUCAGGAGUACGAAAGUAGCUUUAAACCAAAACAAACACUGGAGAACUCUCUGUUGAGAGCAGCAAAGCAAGCGGAACAGAAAGACGCUGGCGAGCCCGCAGCAAACCGCUGCUGGAGUGAAGACCAAACCAGGAGUUAAAGAAGCAGAGCAGGAAAGAGUCGUCAAGCCGGUCCGAAGUCGGGAUAAGCGAGCAGCGUUAAACCGCUGCAAGAGCAAAAGCCAAGACAGGAAUUGAAGGAGCAGAGCAGGAAAGCAUCGUCAAGCCAGUCCGAAGUCGGGAUAAGCAGGCAGCGUCAGGGUCAGGAGCAAAGCCAGCAGUCAGCAACAGAAAGCAGCCACGGAAUUGAGAAUGACGCCAAAACACGUUUUGGGAGCGAAGAGCAAAGCCGAGUCGAAUUCCAGUCCAAGGUCCGAAGAGUUGAAGUCAUCAAAAGAAGGUCCAUGUCACAGAAUGGCACAGAAAGCCAAAACAAUGAAGGCGAACAGCAGCUAAUGCAAAAUAGUAAUAACAAUGCAGGGAAACCCACCCAAUUCCAGCCCUCAGUUGCAGAAUAACCCGGAUCAAACUUACAUCUGUUGCAAAGUCCCAAGCCAGUCUUCAGAAUCACGUACAGGAAACCCAAUGGCGCCCAGCAACACCUUGCCACACGCAAAGCAUAGUGGCCAAACAUCCCCAAUUUAUUUAGGUUUCCUUGGGCAUCCAAACUGCUAAUGCCCUAGGAUCAGGUGUUCCAAAUUCUUCAUCCGAAUCUGAGCUCCAAACAGCCAACGCCCUUGGAUCAGGCGUCGCAAACUCUUCAUCAGAGUCAAUAUCAUUCUGCCCACACCCAACUCUGUCCACACCUGUGAAACCACCCUCAUUCCUCCAGGCAGACCAUGUGGGAUCUGCUUCUGAAGAUACCCAAGCCUCUGCAGCAUCAACAGCAA